AAAACUCUAAGCGGUGGAUCACUCGGCUCAUGGGUCGAUGAAGAACGCAGCAAACUGUGCGUCAUCGUGUGAACUGCAGGACACAUGAACAUCGACAUUUUGAACGCAUAUCGCAGUCCAUGCUGUUAUGUACUUUAAUUAAUUUUAUAGUGCUGCUUGGACUACAUAUGGUUGAGGGUUGUAAGACUAUGCUAAUUAAGUUGCUUAUAAAUUUUUAUAAGCAUAUGGUAUAUUAUUGGAUAAAUAUAAUAAUUUUUAUUCAUAAUAUUAAAAAAUAAAUGAAAAACAUUAUCUCACAUUUGAAUGUGAAAAACGAAGAGAAAUAUUUUCUUUUUCAAUCAAAUAAUACUGAGAAAUGUCUAGCAUAAAAAAUUGAAAUAUUUUUCAUCUAGAAUUGUCUCUUAUUAAUGAUUCGGAAAUAGAAAAAUCUUGGUUAUGUUAUUAUUCUUCGUUGGUUCGUUAAAAAUGGAUAAAUAAAAACUUUGCAUACAAGAAUUAAUAAAAAUGUUAUAACGAAUUUAAUUAAAUGUUUUAUCAUUAUAUAUAAAGAAUUUAUGGCAAGAUAAAGUUAUAUACAACCUCAACUCAUAUGGGACUACCCCCUGAAUUUAAGCAUAUUAAUUAGGGGAGGAAAAGAAACUAACAAGGAUUUUCUUAGUAGCGGCGAGCGAAAAGAAAACAGUUCAGCACUAAGUCACUUUGUCUAUAUGGCAAAUGUGAGAUGCAGUGUAUGGAGCGUCAAUAUUCUAGUAUGAGAAAUUAACGAUUUAAGUCCUUCUUAAAUGAGGCCAUUUACCCAUAGAGGGUGCCAGGCCCGUAUAACGUUAAUGAUUACUAGAUGAUGUUUCCAAAGAGUCGUGUUGCUUGAUAGUGCAGCACUAAGUGGGUGGUAAACUCCAUCUAAAACUAAAUAUAACCAUGAGACCGAUAGUAAACAAGUACCGUGAGGGAAAGUUGAAAAGAACUCUGAAUAGAGAGUUAAACAGUACGUGAAACUGCUUAGAGGUUAAGCCCGAUGAACCUGAAUAUCCGUUAUGGAAAAUUCAUCAUUAAAAUUGUAAUAUUUAAAUAAUAUUAUGAGAAUAGUGUGCAUUUUUUCCAUAUAAGGACAUUGUAAUCUAUUAGCAUAUACCAAAUUUAUCAUAAAAUAUAACUUAUAGUUUAUUCCAAUUAAAUUGCUUGCAUUUUAACACAGAAUAAAUGUUAUUAAUUUGAUAAAGUGCUGAUAGAUUUAUAUGAUUACAGUGCGUUAAUUUUUCGGAAUUAUAUAAUGGCAUAAUUAUCAUUGAUUUUUGUGUUUAUUAUAUGCACUUGUAUGAUUAACAAUGCGAAAGAUUCAGGAUACCUUCGGGACCCGUCUUGAAACACGGACCAAGGAGUCUAACAUAUGUGCAAGUUAUUGGGAUAUAAACCUAAUAGCGUAAUUAACUUGACUAAUAAUGGGAUUAGUUUUUUAGCUAUUUAUAGCUAAUUAACACAAUCCCGGGGCGUUCUAUAUAGUUAUGUAUAAUGUAUAUUUAUAUUAUUUAUGCCUCUAACUGGAACGUACCUUGAGCAUAUAUGCUGUGACCCGAAAGAUGGUGAACUAUACUUGAUCAGGUUGAAGUCAGGGGAAACCCUGAUGGAAGACCGAAACAGUUCUGACGUGCAAAUCGAUUGUCAGAAUUGAGUAUAGGGGCGAAAGACCAAUCGAACCAUCUAGUAGCUGGUUCCUUCCGAAGUUUCCCUCAGGAUAGCUGGUGCAUUUUAAUAUUAUAUAAAAUAAUCUUAUCUGGUAAAGCGAAUGAUUAGAGGCCUUAGGGUCGAAACGAUCUUAACCUAUUCUCAAACUUUAAAUGGGUAAGAACCUUAACUUUCUUGAUAUGAAGUUCAAGGUUAUGAUAUAAUGUGCCCAGUGGGCCACUUUUGGUAAGCAGAACUGGCGCUGUGGGAUGAACCAAACGUAAUGUUACGGUGCCCAAAUUAACAACUCAUGCAGAUACCAUGAAAGGCGUUGGUUGCUUAAAACAGCAGGACGGUGAUCAUGGAAGUCGAAAUCCGCUAAGGAGUGUGUAACAACUCACCUGCCGAAGCAACUAGCCCUUAAAAUGGAUGGCGCUUAAGUUGUAUACCUAUACAUUACCGCUAAAGUAGAUGAUUUAUAUUACUUGUGAUAUAAAUUUUGAAACUUUAGUGAGUAGGAAGGUACAAUGGUAUGCGUAGAAGUGUUUGGCGUAAGCCUGCAUGGAGCUGCCAUUGGUACAGAUCUUGGUGGUAGUAGCAAAUAAUCGAAUGAGACCUUGGAGGACUGAAGUGGAGAAGGGUUUCGUGUGAACAGUGGUUGAUCACGAGUUAGUCGGUCCUAAGUUCAAGGCGAAAGCCGAAAAUUUUCAAGUAAAACAAAAAUGCCUAACUAUAUAAACAAAGCGAAUUAUAAUACACUUGAAUAAUUUUGAACGAAAGGGAAUACGGUUCCAAUUCCGUAACCUGUUGAGUAUCCGUUUGUUAUUAAAUAUGGGCCUCGUGCUCAUCCUGGCAACAGGAACGACCAUAAAGAAGCCGUCGAGAGAUAUCGGAAGAGUUUUCUUUUCUGUUUUAUAGCCGUACUACCAUGGAAGUCUUUCGCAGAGAGAUAUGGUAGAUGGGCUAGAAGAGCAUGACAUAUACUGUUGUGUCGAUAUUUUCUCCUCGGACCUUGAAAAUUUAUGGUGGGGACACGCAAACUUCUCAACAGGCCGUACCAAUAUCCGCAGCUGGUCUCCAAGGUGAAGAGUCUCUAGUCGAUAGAAUAAUGUAGGUAAGGGAAGUCGGCAAAUUAGAUCCGUAACUUCGGGAUAAGGAUUGGCUCUGAAGAUUGAGAUAGUCGGGCUUGAUUGGGAAACAAUAACAUGGUUUAUGUGCUCGUUCUGGGUAAAUAGAGUUUCUAGCAUUUAUGUUAGUUACUUGUUCCCCGGAUAGUUUAGUUACGUAGCCAAUUGUGGAACUUUCUUGCUAAAAUUUUUAAGAAUACUAUUUGGGUUAAACCAAUUAGUUCUUAUUAAUUAUAACGAUUAUCAAUUAACAAUCAAUUCAGAACUGGCACGGACUUGGGGAAUCCGACUGUCUAAUUAAAACAAAGCAUUGUGAUGGCCCUAGCGGGUGUUGACACAAUGUGAUUUCUGCCCAGUGCUCUGAAUGUCAAAGUGAAGAAAUAGCCAAAUGCCUCGUCAUCUAAUUAGUGACGCGCAUGAAUGGAUUAACGACGGACGUGUUUUCGUUGCGCUCGUGGACAUAGUGCGAAGAACUUUGUUUUCCGUAUUUGGAAGUAUACGAAUAAAUAAUUUAGUGUUCCGUGGAAGUGGUGCGCAAAUUUUCGCGAAUUAAAAACAAGCGGUUUGGAAGUAAUUGACAAUAAAUUAUUGGAAAUUUUCCACUCCGCACGUGUUGAGCGGCGAGCUUGCGGGUGAGCUUUUCGAACAGCUGAGAGAAGCUUAUUGGUGGUAGUCACCGCUAAGGAUUGUGUCUUGGGACAGCUUAGUGCACUCUACCAAUAGGUGGAGCUAUCACCAUAGCAACUAGCCCGUGUCAGCGAGCAUACGAUUGCUGGACUCGUCAAAAGGAGGAGCCACCAUCGGAGCAACGCCGAUGGAGAGCGACAGCAGUGUGAGUGCCUUGAGCGGAAGCAGUGCCUCAAAGGUGUCAAGACGAGGCAGGCGUAGAGGCCAUCUGGCCUCCAAGAGCUCGGCGCCAACGCAGGCGAAGCUGGUUGCCCUGGCCUCGAAUGGAGUGCCAGAACCCGUUGGUGUGCUGGAGGAGACGUUUUCAUCGCUGGAGGAUGCCCGGGCGGCUACGUCAAGCGCUGCCAACGAUGCUGCCCCCCCCGCUGCUGCCCCC
rnacentral:rRNA from 1 species